AGGGGGAAAAUUAAUAAAUUAAAUUUAAUAAAAAAAAUUUUAAUAUUAAAAAGAAAAUGGGGGUUUGAGUAUUUUUAAUAGAAAAAAUUAAUAGUUUUAUAGUUAAAUAUUACUGUAAAGGAAUUUAUAAAUAAAUGAAAUAUAAUUAAUGAAAAAGUAAAUUUAAAUUAUUGUAUCUUGUGUAUCAGAGUUUAUUAAAUAAUAAUAAUUUAUUUAAAUAAAUCUCGAAUUUAAAAGAGUUAAUUAAUUAAAAAAGUUAAUGUUGUAUAAUUAUUUUAAAUAAUUAAUUAGAAAUGAAAUGUUAAUCGUUUUUAAAUAUAUCUAGUUUUUUCAGAAAAAAAUUUAAUUUUAAAUUUAAAUAAUUUUAUAAUUAUUUAAUUAAUUAUAAAAAUUUAAAUUUUAAUAUUUUAGGGGAUAAGCUUUAAAUUAAAAAUUUAUAAUUAAAAAUAUUUAAAAUUAAAAUUUUUAAAAUUUAUAUUGUUUAAAAAUUAUAGUUUAUUAUAAAAAAUUUUAUUAAAAAAUAAAAUUUAAAAUAAAAAAAUUUAAAUUUUUAUGAAAAAAUAAUUUAUAAUUCAAUAAAAUUAGAAAUAAUGAUAAAAUUAGUAUAAUAUAAUAAAUUAAAAAAAAAAUUAUAAAUAAUUAAAUUAAAGGAAUUCGGCAAAAAUUUAUAUUCACUUGUUUAUCAAAAACAUGUCUUUUUGAUAAUAAUUUAAAGUCUAAUCUGCCCACUGAUAUUAUAUUAAAGGGCUGCAGUAUAUUGACUGUACAAAGGUAGCAUAAUCAUUAGUCUUUUAAUUGAAGACUUGUAUGAAAGAUUUGAUGAAAUAUAAACUGUCUCUAAUUUAUGAUUAGAAAUUAAUUUUUUAGUUAAAAAGCUAAAAUAACAUUAAAAGACGAGAAGACCCUAUAGAGUUUUAUAUUUUAUUUAAUUAAUAUUAAAUAUAUAAUUAAAUAUAUUAAUUAAGUGAAAUAUUGUGUUGGGGUGAUAGAAAAAUUUAAUAAACUUUUUUUAAAUUUUAACAUAAAUAAGUGGUUAGUUGAUCCAUUAAUAAUGAUUAAAAGAAAAAAUUACCUUAGGGAUAACAGCGUAAUAUUUUUUUUUAGUACAUAUAAAAAAAAAAGUUUGCGACCUCGAUGUUGGAUUAAGAUAAAAUUUAAAUGCAAAAGUUUAAAAUUUUGAUCUGUUCGAUCAUUAAAAUCUUACAUGAUCUGAGUUCAAACCGGUGUAAGCCAGGUUGGUUUCUAUCUUUAGUAAAAAAAAAUAUUUUAGUACGAAAGGAUCAAAUAUUUAAAAUAAUUUUAUAAUAAUGAAUAUUAAUAAUAUAGUUUA
rnacentral:rRNA from 1 species